CUAAGUUGACUGCCGUUGACUAACCGGAGGAAGUUGGGGAUGACGUCAAAUCAUCAUGCCCCUUAUGAUUUGGGCUACACACGUGCUACAAUGGAAAAUACAAAGGGCAGCGAAACCGCGAGGUCAAGCAAAUCCCAUAAAGUUGUUCUCAGUUCGGUUUGUAGUCUGCAACUCGACUACAUGAAGCUGGAAUCGCUAGUAAUCGUAGAUCAGCUUGCUACGGUGAAUACGUUCCCGGGUGUUGUACACACCGCCCGUCACACCACGAG
rnacentral:rRNA from 1 species